CUGUGCUAGCUAACCUGCACACCUGACCGAGAUUAUAUUCGGUUUCGAUUUUGUAUCAGACAAUUAAAAUCGUUGAAAUAGUUGAUUUGACAGAGGCUUUAACAUAAAUCCAACGGCACGUUUUGACGAUCAAAACAACUUGUUCAAGUGUGUUUGACUGACUGGUUGAAUAGCUGUUUGUGUGGAGUGCCAACUCCACGUAAAUGACGCAAAUCGUGGCAAGGGUUCACAUUCGCCCCCCCCCCUUUGAAAUGUUGAAUUAUAUUUGUGUUAGUGUGUUGAGAAGAGCAGCCAAAAUGUUGUAAAUGAAGAUUACGAAUACAUUUAAUGAGAUGCUUUUUGUUGGGAGUCCCUCAAGCAAACCGACAUAUGUUACUGGCACUGCUACAUAAAUCAUCGUUGUUAUUAUAGGCGACGUUACAUAAAUGUGAUAGACAGCGAGUGAGGAAGAAAUCAGACCUUGUGGACAAGGGCCCUGUCAGACAUCAGAGAGAGGGACGCAGACUGCAGGGAACUGUUGUGUCUAAUGAAGUCCGGGCCAUCGUCGUUGACCAUGUGGUAAACUGAGGCCUUACCAUGGCAGAGGCUGCCAGAUUAGUUCACCCCAAUCUGAAACGAUCAACUGUCAAUUCGAUCAUGAGAACAUUCCGGCAAGAAAACUGAAUUGAUAGAAGACCCCAUGGUGGUGGCCAUGUGCCGACCGACCAGCAGUGGUGGAAAUGGUGAGGGCCAGGAAUAACAUUUGUCUGUCCGAAAUAAAGCAGGCCAUUGAGGAGAACGAUGACACCUUUGCCAAUGUGGCAUCCACCAGCCUACCAACAAUCACCUGCCUUUUGAAGAGGCACCAGGUAUCUAUGAAACACAUUUACUUGGUGCCUUUUGAGAGAAACAACGACCGGCUGAAACAACUGUUCAGGCUUCAACCUGGACAAAACUCAGCGCCGUGGGCGAAAACCUCAUCGGCCAAUGGGUGACCGCCGUGUGCCACCCAAUGUGGGGGAAACAUCUCCAUGUGCACCACUAUCUCUGAAGACUGUGUGGUAGGACGUAGGGCAUUACUUGGAUCCUGCAACGCUGCACACCUCAUUGUGUUUCUCAAUGAAAUUGCGCAAGCCUGUCAAAGGUGAUGGGGUCACCUAUGUCAUCGUGUGGGCCCAUCCCCGAUUUGUGACCCUAUACCUGCUCCGAUACUCUCCUUUCAGCAUGGAGAUGGAAGGUGUACGAUCGCCAUCCCCAUGAGUGUGCCACCUUCCGUAUGGUCAUGGAUGAGGCAUGCAAUGACUUCAAUGAAGGUUAGAUUCGCCAUGCCAAAAGGUUUUUCCCGUGGUGCAUGAAUGAUGAGGACUUUUACUGUGAUGUGGAUUAAAAUUUAUGGCCAAAUGCUCAAGACAGGCUUGAUGCAAAUUAAUGCAUGCUAAAUGUUUUCUUUUAAUUUAAUUUGUUUAAUUUUACAUUUCAUUCGACAGUACACCUAACAAAAAAAAUGCUUUAUUUUUCAGAUAUAAUUGCAUGAAUGAUUGUAGAGGAUGUCUUCAUUGAUCACACAUUGGAUAGAUACUGUUGAAAUGAUAGAUUUUCAGAAAAUUGUUGGGUAAUGUAGGUGUAUUGCAUAAUGUGAUCUACUGUAAUUUACAGCACUGUAGCAUAUUACUUUCAGCAUUUCUAAGGGCGAUUUGAAACAACUCAAUUGAAAACAUAUUGUUGUGUUUUGGUGA